UACGUAGGUGGCAAGCGUUGUCCGGAAUUAUUGGGCGUAAAGCGCGCGCAGGCGGUCCUUUAAGUCUGAUGUGAAAUCCCACGGCUCAACCGUGGAAGGUCAUUGGAAACUGGGGGACUUGAGUACAGAAGAGGAAAGUGGAAUUCCAAGUGUAGCGGUGAAAUGCGUAGAGAUUUGGAGGAACACCAGUGGCGAAGGCGACUUUCUGGUCUGUAACUGACGCUGAGGCGCGAAAAGCGUGGGGAGCAAACAGG
rnacentral:rRNA from 1 species